rnacentral:rRNA from 1 species
AGAUUGAACGCUGGCGGCAUGCCUAACACAUGCAAGUCGAACGGCAGCACAGCCCGCAAGGGUGGGUGGCGAGUGGCGGACGGGUGAGGAAUACAUAGGAAUCUACCCUGUCGUGGGGGAUAACGUAGGGAAACUUACGCUAAUACCGCAUACGACCGAGAGGUGAAAGCGGCGGACCGCAAGGCGUCGCGCGGCUGGAUGAGCCUAUGUCCGAUUAGCUAGUUGGCGGGGUAAUGGCCCACCAAGGCGACGAUCGGUAGCUGGUCUGAGAGGAUGAUCAGCCACACUGGAACUGAGACACGUCAGACUCCGUACGGGA